GUGGCCUCCUGCAGUCAUCUGCUCUCCUUUCCUUGCAGGUGCCAGCAUCGACACGCGGAGAACUUCUGAAUCCUGCAACUGCAAAGGGCACGCGUUCUGGAGAUUUAUAGAGUUCUUUUGCACUCCCCGCACUCCUGAUCGUAUUUUGCAGGUAUCGUAGCAGAAAUCGUGAGGGAAGGUUUCCUUCCUUCCUGUGAAGUUGGGGACGGACCUUGGGGCUCUCCCCUCAGUCCAGGGGCACUGCUCAAGCCCACCGUGUCGAUCAGGUUCCUGCAACCAAAGCUCCCACGCAGGGCUGGGCUUGCUAGAAAGGAGGGCUUCCCCGCAGGAGGGGAGCGGAGCUGAACUGCUGCAUCUUGCCCACAGUCCUCCGGUGGAAGCUGGGCAAAAGGCUUUCUCCCCGGUGAUCCCGAUUCUGCAGUCAUCUUUAACAGCGCCUUUUUGGGGGUGGGAGGUGGGAGGUGAGGGGUGCCCUGCAGAGCCCCUGGGCAGAGAGGUGUUUCUGCUGGGCCCUGACCGGGAUGGUUUCGUGACCAGGAUUCUCUGCUCCGUAAUACUGAGAGCCCCUGACAAAGGUCGGGCAGGGAAGAAGGGCUCCUGCUUCUGUCCACUUCCUCACAGGCGCCUCAUUUUCAAGCUGAACCAGAGCCCACAGACACACCGGCACCUGUGCUUUAAGCUACGCGGGCAGUUGUGUUGGCCCCAACACCCUCUCACCCUUCAUUGCUUUCCCGUUCCGUUUGCAGCCAGAUGUUUCCCCAGGAAACUGCUGGCCUUUCCCAGGGCAUCAGGGCCAGGUGGUCAUCAGGUUGCCAGCACGAGUCCACCUGACUGCCAUCACUGUGCAGCACAUCUCCAAAGAAGUCUCUCCAUCUGGGAAAGUCACCAGUGCCCCCAGAGACAUCGCCGCCUUUGGAGUGGAUGCAGAUGGAGAAGAGGAAACUCACCUGGUGACCUUCAUGUACGAUAUAGCAAAGGAGGACAUUCAGACCUUCCCUCUGAAGAACUCCCCACAUCCCAGAGCCUUCCAAUAUAUCAAACUGGUUGUGAAGAGCAACUGGGGAAGACCAGAGUACACCUGCAUUUAUCGAGUGCAGGUUCAUGGGAAGAUGGCAAAACCAGAAGCCUCAACUGAAUCUUGAGAAAAAAGAAGAGAGAGAACAUAAAAAAGAAGAAGAAGAAAAAAGUUGUGGCAACUCAGAUCUGUGUAGAAGAUUUGUCUCCAAAGUGGGGAGCACAAUAAGGUUUAUUGUGGGGAGGCGGGAGUGUGUGGAAAACGGUAGUGCUGCUGUGAGAAACACCGUCUCACACUUAGAAUUUAAAGAGGACAAAGUCGCCGAAGCAAACAUUAACAUUUUGUUAUACGACACAGCGCUGAAUCGGGUGCACCAAAAAUAGAUGCACGCUGAUCUUUCGCCUUUCAGGUAUUUUAUACCCUUGUCGCGGCCGCCUGAGUUUCUGUCUCUCUUCUCAUGGGCUGAGAAGUUGGAGCUCACCUUCUUCCCGACCGCCUGACCUAAACAGGUUUAGUUUGCACCUUUUUCCCAUAGAAGGCACACACACGGCUACUCCACGAAGUCGUUAUCCUAAACACGCCUUCGAUUAGCUGAUUACGCGACAUGUUAUUUCAGUCUUUGCUACCAUCUACUUGGCAGAUUUACUGUCCAAGACUGGUUUCUUUGGCCUUAUUGAUACUCCCCUACGCUCUGGGUUCCUGUGUUGAAGGCCGUGUUCCAGUCUGUUUCUCUUCACCUAGACAACGCUCUGCGCACAAGGAUCCCUUGGCAGAGCAAGGGCAUUUCUGGGGAUUAAUUGGAUACAAUUUCUUAGACGUCCCUUCCCGCAGGGAGCUGAGACAGGCCUGGCUGGGCAUCCUAGAGAAGGGACCUCAGGAGCCAGGCUUAACUCUUCUCUGGUUUCUUUGCUGUGGAGACAUCUCACAAGAUUGUGCCUCUUCUCCAUGUAUGUACGACACCUUUCUGCUGUGGACCAGGGGGAACGGGGAUGUCUGAGGGCCGAUGCCAGCACAGGGCAGAGCAGAGGGUGUUCCCCAUCCAGGAACCCGGGGAUGCCAGUCCGGCACUAGCGCUGCUGGAGGGGAGGGCCAUGGGCUCCCGUGCAGCUCUGCCAUGCUG
ensembl:lncRNA